CAGCUUUAAUGUGGUCAUGAGAAAGACAUUAAGGAAUAUUGAUAUUGCGGCUGCCCAUGGCAUCAAUGGCACUGACCAUUCUUCAUUUUGUUGGCUAACGGAUGGUACCUUGUAUUGAAAGAAAGCUGUAAUGGCAACUAUACCCAUUCCAAAUAGUGAUAAACCCCAUCUUUGUUCUUCAAGUUUCCAUGAAAUGGAGAAGCCAAUUGCACUAGACGAGAGGAGGAGGAGGAACAAGAGCGUAUGUGAAGGUGGGUUUUGGCUAAUGAUUACAUAUCGACGGUAGAUGAGAGCAUUGGCUACCAGGUAGAAAACCAGUAGUGUGCUAAUGGAGAUCAUUUCAAGAACUAUG
rnacentral:misc_RNA from 1 species